rnacentral:rRNA from 1 species
UACGUAGGGUGCGAGCGUUGUCCGGAAUUACUGGGCGUAAAGGGCGCGUAGGCGGCCACUGCAAGUCGGUUGUGAAAUCUCCGGGCUUAACCCGGAAAGGUCAACCGAUACUGCAGGGCUAGAGUGCGGAAGGGGCAACUGGAAUUCUCGGUGUAGCGGUGAAAUGCGUAGAUAUCGAGAGGAACACCUGCGGCGAAGGCGGGUUGCUGGGCUGACACUGACGCUGAGGCGCGAAAGCUAGGGGAGCAAACGGG